ACAUUACCCAACCCUAAUGAUGAUUUUGCGCCAAAACCACCCUACCUCUCCUUAAAAAGGAUACUGUACACGCUGACUGCUGCUAGCAUAUUAGAGGCUGCAUCACUAACUGGUCUGAUUUGUAUAUCGAAGACUUCUUCCUCAUCGGCGAUUGGGAGAUUUGAUUUCGUUGAAGAUCCGAAUUAAUUAAGAAAGAGAGAAUUAUUUGAGGAUCCUAUCUUAAUUUUGUUAUAAAUCAAAGUGUUGUGAAUAAUUGGUAUUUUAAAAAAUUUGAAAACAUCUAGUACUAAUAUUCAAGAUUAUUAGACAACGUGUUGAUAAUUUGAGUUCCAAGAGUUAUUGAAUCUAAUUCACUAAAAUCGUACAAGUUCUCAGAGUUCAAAAAUCUUCUGCCUAUGAAGUAAGCUUGCCGAUCAUUUUUUUCUAAUGAAAUUAUCAGUCAAUACAACACAAUCACUUUCAA